CACUUUUGUAAUAUACUAGUUGGUAUGAUGCUUUCAAUUUUUUAGUUCAAUUUUAACAGUGACAAGUGAUGGUUAGCAUCUAAGAGUCAAUUUUAUGAGUAUUUAGUUUGGAAUUUGGAGCUAAAUUGUUGAACAUUUCAAAUGAUGCUAACACUUAUUUAAAGAAUUUAGAGGAAUCUCAGUUGAUGUGAAUCAAAGCGAAAAUCAAGUGUCAUUUAUGUUGUGUAAGAUCAUAAGGAUGUGUAAUAGUAUAAUUCUAUUGCAGGUAUAAUAUGUUGAGAAAAUUUUAGGAAGUUUAACUAUCUUGAUGUUAAAACAUUGAGUAUCCCUUAUGGUCCUAAUGCUACUUGAGUAAAAAUAUAUGAAAUAUACCAUAACAUAUUAUAUGGUACUGUAUAUACAAUGUGAAUUAGCCAUUGUAUUAGAACAAUACAAUGAAGUAUCAUGAGAUUUGUUUGAGUAAAAAUAUAUACUUGAGAUUUAUUUCUCUAUUGUGAGAGUAUUAUCACUUGAAAAUUAUUCAAGUAAGCUUGUGUGAUAAAUCCACAAAUAAAGUCACAUUUAUCCAAUGUGGGUGUCGCUUAGAUAGUAUCCUAAGUAGACUUGUAUAACAAAUUUAUAAUUGGAUAUGAGCCAAUGAGAUAAAUUUAUAAGUAGAUUUAUUUUAUUGAUGAAUAAGUUGUCGCUUAGUAGCCAUCUAAGUAGACUUGUAUAAACUUAUUGUGAAAAUCGAGUUUAUUUUAUAUAGACUCAAGAAAAUAUGAGAUUAUAAUUGACUUUGAGACGUCUUAGUCAAUAUGUGUGAAUUGAUCGGAUCCGUUGACUUAACCCCUGGGAAGAAAAUUGAUAGGAAUGGACUAUGCCACUGAAAAACGACAAGUAAUGNNNNNNNNNNNNNNNNNNNNNNNNNNNNNNAAUGGCUAUGAGAAGUGCUAAAUUAAAAUUAAUUUGAGGGGUAAGCUUAAGGCUUUUAAUGAUUACCAUAAGCCCUUGUGGGUGGUGUAUGGUUGUAGCAUACGCUAGAUGGAAUCACCUAUAUGAGUGUCAGGUGGGGCCGCUUGCAUGAGACUGUGGCGGGUCUCUAGAGCACUCAUGAAAACCAGACACGCGCACGGCCUAAAUGCGCAACACCGCGUAACACGAGAAUUGUGGGGGUGUGAUGCGGGUGCUAGACCGCUAACACACGUCAAGUGUCUUUGGUUCAUAUAGCUUGCUACACCAAUUUCACUAUGUGUUAAGUCUAUCAUUCUAGCACUGGUUCAUAUAGCUUGCUACACCAGUUUGAUGCGUCACACUCAAAAGUAACUCAGCCAAUGUUUUAAAACAAUUUUAAUUUGUCAUUCUUUAAUUU
rnacentral:lncRNA from 1 species